UAAACUAUGGAGAUUGCCGUGGAGACCUCUCUCAAGAAAAAAGAUGUGUAAAGUUUGAGUAGAAAUCACAACACACGGGAGUUUGGUUUACGUAUGUGAUUACUUGUUAGGCCAACAUUGUUUAUGAAAUGUCCUUAUAUCUAAAUCUAGAUUGGUUCUAACAUUUCCUCAAAAGUUUAAGAAUGAAAUACAUCUAGACUAAUAAGAAUAUUUUCAAAUACUUUGAAGAUCUAGACGUCAUUGUGUGUUUAGUCAUAAAAAAAAUCUGGCAAUCAAGAGUUUUGAAUUGAAUUGGAUCUGACUAACUUACUUGGCAGUCGUAUGGAUCUCAUGAACAUUUGUUAUAAUGUUAUGUGACAUUAUGUCAAUUUUAUUGCAAAGUUAAUAUUUCAAGAAGUCCACUUGGAGCUCUUAGAUAAACCUAGCAUCUAGGCCUACUAUAAUCCAUCGCCGUAGAUCAAGUCAUAAUCAUUCAUAAAAAAUUUAAAGGGAGUAGUGUUUGACUGUACCUUGAAACCAUCAUCUACAUUGAAUAAGUUUAAAGUUUGACUAAACUUUGUUUCGAAUGCACCUGUGAUGUUUUAAAAGAUUUGUUUGUGUUACUGACUUCAUCAAAUGAAGAUUCAGAUCUGAAGGUCAAUUGUUGGUGUCAAGGUUCAGGUACUUUGGAUCAAUGUUUGACAGAAAAGCCUGAAGGAGUCGUGUGUUUAUCAUCACUCCUUAUGACUGAGGGCUUGAGAAGCUCAAAUCUUUUUCAAAAAGCCAUGAACCAACUUUUGCUGUUAUGUGCAAUGCACCUCACUAUACAAGUCAAAAGCAUGUAUCUUUCCAGACAUCCUGUUUUGUAAACAAGGCUCAAGCUAUAUUUAAAUUUCAAGUUCUCAGUUAUCAAAGGAUCAAUGCAUCAUUUGGAAGACAAAUCACAAAUUCAAGACACAAGCCAUUUCAAGAGAAAUUUAAACUUCCUAGUAUUAUCUUUUGUAUUUAAAAUGUACAAACAUCAAAUCUUUACUAGCACUAUGAGUAAUAUUAUUCUGAUCAAUGUUUAUGUCAACUGUCACAUUCUUAAAUAUAGACAUACUUCUUAUAUAGCCACUUAUCUAUUAACAUUAUUUUAAUUUUAUUAUGUCAACUUAUUACACUAUAAAUUAGAAUGUCUUGUGUACUUAAUUUGUAGACUUCUUAUUUCUAAACUGUUUACUUUUAAAAUUAGUUUAGUCACAUCAGAGUCUGAAUUUCUUGUACACAUUUAAUGAAUACACAGGAUUUGUAUAAAAUAUUGGGCCGUUUUAAACUUCUCUGUGCAAUUCUCCAUGUAUGCAUUUUUCU